rnacentral:rRNA from 1 species
AGAUUGAACGCUGGCGGCAUGCUUUACACAUGCAAGUCGAACGGUAACAGGCCGCAAGGUGCUGACGAGUGGCGAACGGGUGAGUAAUGCAUCGGAACGUGCCCAGUCGUGGGGGAUAACGCAGCGAAAGAGUGGCUAAUACCGCAUACGAUCUACGGAUGAAAGCGGGGGAUCGCAAGACCUCGCGCGGACGGAGCGGCCGAUGGCAGAUUAGGUAGUUGGUGGGAUAAAAGCUUACCAAGCCGACGAUCUGUAGCUGGUCUGAGAGGACGACCAGCCACACUGGGACUGAGACACGGCCCAGACUCCUACGGGAGCAGCAGUGGGAAUUUGGACAAGUGGGCGAAAGCCUGAUCCAGCAAUGCCGCGUGCAGGAUGAAGGCCUUCGGUUAGUAAACUGUCUUUUGUAACGGAACGUAAAAGUCUUCUACUAAUACAGAGGUCUUAUGACGGUACGUAAGAAUAAGCACGG